rnacentral:tRNA from 1 species
CGUCCUGUAGCUCAGUUGGCAGAGCAUCCGCGCGACAUGCGGAAGGCCCCAGGUUCAAACCCUGGCGGGACGA